rnacentral:rRNA from 1 species
GACUAACGCUGGCGGCGCGCCUAACACAUGCAAGUCGCACGAGAAACUCCGUAGCAAUACGGGGCGGUAAAGUGGCGAACGGGUGAGUAAUGCAUGGGUGACCUGUCCUCAAGAUGGGAAUAACCUCGCGAAAGCGGGGCUAAUACCCAAUGCCAUCUCGGUCCUACGGGAUCGGGAUGAAAGAUAGCUGUCACAGGCUGUCACUUGAGGAGGGGCUCAUGCCCAUCAGCUAGUUGGUAGGGUAACGGCCUACCAAGGCUAUGACGGGUAGCUGGUCUGAGAGGACGACCAGCCACACUGGCACUGAGACACGGGCCAGACUCCUACGGGAGCAGCAGUGAGGAAUCUUGCGCAAUGGACGAAAGUCUGACGCAGCGACGCCGCGUGGGGGAUGAAGGCCUUCGGGUCGU